rnacentral:rRNA from 1 species
UACGGAGGGGACUAGCGUUGUUCGGAAUUACUGGGCGUAAAGCGCACGUAGGCGGAUUUGUAAGUCAGGGGUGAAAUCCCGGGGCUCAACCUCGGAACUGCCUUUGAUACUGGCAAAUCUCGAGUCCGGAAGAGGUGAGUGGAAUUCCUAGUGUAGAGGUGAAAUUCGUAGAUAUUAGGAAGAACACCAGUGGCGAAGGCGGCUCACUGGUCCGGUACUGACGCUGAGGUGCGAAAGCGUGGGGAGCAAACAGGG